rnacentral:rRNA from 1 species
UUUCUUUUUAUUAAAUAAGAAGUAAGCCRUGUUCCAUGAAUUUUUAAAUAACCGCAAAAUUUAAUUGUGCAAAGGUAGCAUAAUAAUUUUCUUCUUAAUUGGAAGGUUGGAUGAAUGGGUAAACAAAAAACUAACUGUGUUUAUAAAAAUUUAAAAUUUUAUAAGGAGGUGAAAAUGCUUUCUAGAUUUAAAGGGACGACAAGACCCUGGGAACUUUUAAUAUCAGGACUUUUAAAUAUUUUUAGCUGGGGCGGCAAUUAUUAUAAACAAAAAUAAAAUAAACACAUUGUGUGAGCUUUUUAACAAUAAAUUAAGUAUAAAGAGUAAGUUACCCCAGGGAUAACAGCACAAUGAUUCCAGAGAGCUCAAAUUUAAGGAAAUCAUUGUGACCUCGAUGUUGAAUUAAAUAUACUAUUUGGAGUAGAAAAUAAAUAAAGUGAGUUUGUUCAACUCUUGAAUAUUUACGUGAUCUGA